rnacentral:rRNA from 1 species
UACGUAGGGGGCUAGCGUUGUCCGGAUUUAUUGGGCGUAAAGAGCUCGUAGGCGGUUUGUCGCGUCUGCCGUGAAAGUCCGGGGCUCAACUCCGGAUCUGCGGUGGGUACGGGCAGACUAGAGUGAUGUAGGGGAGACUGGAAUUCCUGGUGUAGCGGUGAAAUGCGCAGAUAUCAGGAGGAACACCGGUGGCGAAGGCGGGUCUCUGGGCAACAACUGACGCUGAGGAGCGAAAGCGUGGGGAGCAAAAGGG